CCCACGACAACAGUAGAACCCAUGUUUUUUCGAAAAACCCAUGUCUUUGCGGAAAACCCAUGCACAUGACCCAUUUACCACCCUAUAGAGCAAGUGCACGGUUAGAUGUCGUAGCCGCACGCAUUUAUGGAAAGCAAUCAAAUGGCCGUAGAAAACAAUUGGUAAUGAAUAUUUUCAAUUAUAAGGAAAGAUGAAGACCAG
rnacentral:lncRNA from 1 species